rnacentral:rRNA from 1 species
AUGCAGCCGGCGGCAAUGGAGACCGGCCAGGGCCAGCCAUGGGAGUACAGACUGCGGAAGUACCUCCUGCUGCUGGCCACCCUGGUGGCCAGCAUCACGUACACCGCGGGCUUCAACCCACCGGGGGGCGUCUGGCAGCAGAAGGGCUCCGACGAAGACGGCCACCGCGCUGGCGACCACAUCAUCAACGACACCGACAACCGCCGGCACCUCGCCUUCUUCUAUUGCAACGCCACCGCGUUCAUCGCGUCCCUCGUAGUCAUCGUCCUCAUCCUCAUCCUCGCCAUACGGCACGACAAGGACAAGGACAAGAAGGACGCCGUGUGGGUCGCCUCAGGCUCAGGCGUCGUGCCGCUGCGGCUUGUCAUGGUGCUCGACCUGCUCAGCCUCGUGGGCGCCUACACCGCCGGCACCUGCCGAGACAAGGUGUCAUCUCUCUACUCAGCCGCGCUGGUGGCCGCCAUUUUCAUCUACAUCGUGCUUCUCAAGCUGCUGGACCUGGACUGGUGGUGGUGCUUUCCAAACGAAAGCAGCAACUCCUUGUCCACCACCUCCGAGCUCCCGUUGCCGCGGGAGGAGAUGAAAGCCGAAGAACGGUUCCGCAAGGUCCUGAUGCUUCUGGCGACAUUCGCGGUGAGCAUCACGUAUGUCGCCGGGCUGAGCACACCGGGCGGCUUCUGGGACAGCACCGACGGCAGCCACCGGCCGGGCGACGCCAUCCUCAAGGAUCACCACAGCCUGCGGCUGAUGGUGUUCCUGCUCUGCAACACCACAGCGUUCAUGGCUUCCCUGUUCAUCACCAUGCUUCUCAUCAUCGACGGCAGGAAGCUCCUUGGGAAGACGGCCCGGACUCGCGAGCUCUACACUUGCAUCAUCGUCGCGCUAGUCAGCCUCGUCGCCGCCUAUGCCGCUGGCAGCUGCAGGAAGAAUGACACCACCGUCUAUGUGGUCAGCCUUGUUGGCGCCGUUCUGGCAUUCAUCCUACUCCUGGUACUCCAUCGUUUCUUCUACGGCAAUUCUUGUUCCAGUCCAGAGCAACAAUCUGAUGAAAAUCAGCAGACUAGUGAUAAUGCCAGUGCUUGUACCGGUGUAUUCCUUUUUUUCUCAGCCUGGUUGGCGUCGUUCCGGCGGCGGCAGGCUGGUGAUAAUGCCAGCUGCAGUGCUAGCAGGGAAGCUCUGGACAAGACCCGCUCUCUUGUUCUACUGCUCGCCACUCUUGCCGCCACCAUCACCUACUCAGCGGGGUUGGACCCACCGGGUGGACUUUGGCAGGAUGGGGACAUGGCCGGCAACCCGAUUCUUCUCACGGCGGAUGCUAGGCGGUACAAUGUCUUCUACUACUGCAAUUCGGUUUCUUUCGUGGCGUCAUUGGUGGUCAUCAUCCUGGUCCAGGAGGAGAUUCUCGUCAAGCACCAUGUGCUGGAGGCAACCAUGAUACUCGACCUGUUUGGCCUCGUCGGCGCGUAUGCCGCCGGGAGCUGCAGGAACAUGAAGCAAUCCAUCUAUGCCAUGGCCUUGGCAUUCGCCGUCCUGGGCUACGUGGUGAUCCAUGUUGUCUUCUUCACGCUGGAUCAUGAGGAAAAGAAGAAUCACGACAAUAAUGAAGAUCCGGUGCUUGAGGAUAGGCGCAAACUGCUUGAGGAGAGGCGCAACCAGUUUCUUGACAAGAGGCGCAAACGGUUGUUACUCUUCGCAAUCUUGGCCGCGACCAUCACCUACCAAGCCGGCCUCACCCCUCCGGGCGGCUUCCUGCUCCAGGACAAGCUCGGAAACCACGCCGGUGACCCGGUCCUCCUGUGCAACGACCAGCGCCGCUACAAAGCCUUCUUCUACUGCAACUCGGUGAGCUUCAUGUUGUCCAUCGCUCUCAUCAUCCUCCUGGUGAACCCCACUGUGUAUAGACCAGCCAUAGAAAGCAAUGCGUUGUCUGUUUGUACGGCGGUGGGCUUGUUUUGUUUGAUGGGGGCCUACGCCGCCGGAAGCACGCAGGACGAUAAGACAUCCAUCUACAUCUUCGUCUUGGUGGCGCUGGUCCUCUUCGUUGCAGCCGGAUUGCUAGUAGUAUAUUUUGUGGGGGAGCGGAGAAGAAAUGCCAAUCCAGCAGCAGACAUGCGGUCCAUACUUGAACAGGAUGCCGCUAAGGAGGAAGAAGAUAGGAAGAAGGAGGAAGAAGAAAGAAAGGAGGUAGAAGAAAAGAAGAAGGAUGCAGAAGAAAGGAAGAAGCACGCGAGGCGCAAGUACCUGAUGCUGGUAGGCAUCUUGGUGGCAAGCGUAGCCUACCAGGCCGGACUGGAACCGCCCGGCGGGAUGUGGCAGAGCAGCAGCGACGAGCACGAGGCGGGCAGCCCGGUGAUGCAAGAUAACAUGAGGGGCCGGUACCUCUUCUUCUUCUACAGCAACUCAAUUUCUCUUGUGGCUUCCAUCGUUGUCAUCAUCAUGCUGCUACCGCAUUGGCUGCCCAAGAAGAAAGAAGAAUGUGAAGAUUGGUCGCUGAGGGUGAUGAACAAGACGAUCAUACUGGAUUUGGUUGCUCUCCUAGGGGCCUAUGCAGCCGGCUCCUGCAGGGGGUGGAAGACAUCUAUGUAUGUCGUCGCGCUCAUCGUUGCCGUGCUGGGCUACUUUGCCAUCCAUAUGAAACUGUCAUUAUGCCGGCGGAAGAAUCCUCGUCGUUAUGGGAGCAUUGAGAGGCAGAACAGCCAAGGAAAUCAGCCAGUCUGA